UAUUAAAAAUCAAGCAUAACUUGCUUAAAAUCACCUACUUUACCUAUAAGAGGCUUAAAAUGCAAAUGUGAGUAAACAAAUUUUUAUCUCAUAGUUAUGCAUCAUAUUCUUCUUGCUUUGAUAGGGGAAAGGGCAUGGGGAAAAGACUCUAAAAAUGAGGAGGGGUCACUGAAGACAAACUUACUGUGAUUUUGCCAGGCGUUGUGAGUCAGGAAGGCCUUUCUGUCUGGACCAGCUCACACACGUGUAUGUGUGUGCAUGUCCAGGGACACAGUCAUGUAUUCCCAAGCAAGCCCCUCUGGAAUCACAACCAGUAGAAGAUACACAGGAAGAGAGUGGUACAUCUGUAGAAGGCCUCCAUUUGUCUGGGUCAUCACCAUUCCGGAAAAUCCAGAGUCCUCAUCAUCCUCAGAUGAUGUUGGUUAAUUCUCAUGAUAUCACCUUCUCUUUUGGUAAGGGAGGGAGGUAUUUUUGAAAAAUAAAAACAAUACAUGAUUUAUAGAGUCAAAUAUUAGAGGGAUUUAAUGGAGAUCAAUAGGUCCUGUUCCUGACUCCAAUCCCAUUUCUGGUGCCUCCUUCCCUAAUCACAUCUCCAUCAAUGUCUUCCAUUAUUAAUUUCCUUAUUUUUUAAAAAACUAUGCUUACAUUGUUGCUUGUUGAUUUUUUUUCCCAUUACUUUCAGGUGCCAUACUACAUAGGUGAAGACUUAACCUUUUUUUUUUUAAAGAUUUUUAUCAGUGCAUUAUAGUUAUACAAAAUAGUGGGGUUCAUUUUGACAUAUUCCUAAAUGCAUAUAACACAGUUUGUGCUGAGAUUUAUCUUUCUUAAAUAGUGUCUUCCCCCCGGGGCUACCUGGUCAUUUUAUUGGGGUGAUACACAAAAUGUGAAGAUUUGUGGGGCUUUUAUCUUGGGUCAGGUGGUUGUCCUCACAACAAAAUUCUCUCAUAUUCACCUGGGGUUGCAGAGAAGGUUAAAUCUAGCUGCCAGCAUUAUUAGACCUAAGUAGGCAAGGGGCUGCUGGGCUUUCGCCUUUCAGUACUCCAAUUUGUUUAUAUAAAUUAAUUUUUAUUGGUGCAUUAUAAUUAUACAUACUAGUGGGAUUUGUUGUGACAUAUUCAUGCAUGCACAUAAUAUGGCCAGUUUCAUUUCCCAGACCCUUGCCUUUCCCUCUCCUCUUCUCUCCAUAUUCCUACUUUGCCUCACUCUCCAUUUUAUAUUCUAUUGCAAAAGAAGAGUGAGACAAACUUGGAAUGUCAUCUGUCUCCCUUUGCUCUUUGCUAUCUGUGCCCUGAGCACAGGGCACAGUUUCUUGGUCUCCUCAGGAAAAAGGGUCCCCAUCUUCUCCCCUCAGUCAUACCUGCUGUCUCAUCCCUCAGCCUCACCAGAUUCUGUACCAGAAAUCAAUUUUCAAUUGCCUUUCUGCCAGCAGUAACUUAACUCUUUUUUUUUUUUAACUUUCUACUAAAUGCAUUUUUAGCAUCCAAACUGUUGUUGCCCUGUUUCAUUGGCUCUUGUCUCCUCUUCCAAUCUCUUUGUCUUAUGGAUUUAGGCCUUUUUAAGAAAAAAAAAUUCUUUUAAAAUUCUCUUUUAUUCUUAUUUUAGUGAGGUGGUACAAAAGAGAUGUAUACAGCCUGCCUUGCUUAAUUGAAACCUGUCAUCAGUUUUUGAUUUCCAUGGUGAAUGCAUUUGUACAUCCAAAUUAGCAAAACUUAAAAAAUAGAUUAUUAUAUUUAUGGUCAGGGCCAAUGCUUUCAUCCUGUCCAGUAAUUGUUUUAUAAUAAAAAAAAAACUUUUAAGUGAAGGCACCCAUCCAUUUAAGCUGUUUUAUUGUCAAGAAUGUUGCCUAGCACAUAUCGAAAUAUCUAUUUACAGUGCACUUUGUGCUUCCCCCAUAAUCUGAAAGAAAAGAAACAAAGCAAUAACAGAUGAAGCACUAAGCUGUUUGCUUGUUUUAAAUGUGGAAUUUUGCAAUGAUGGAUGUGAAUCUGGGUCAGCACUAUUUACAGAGAGCACAUGGUGUUUUGUUUCAAUGAGCAGGAAAAUGUUUUGUGAUUAAAUGUGGUAAAAGCUUGUAGUUUUUUCCAACUAAGCAGUAAAAAGAAUUACUCAAUGUAAAAUGAUAAAUAAAAAGUUCUGUGAGUCAUCUUUAAUGUAGGGAAAAUGUGCAGCUGGGACAGAAACUAUGUUUUCCUGCAUGUUAAAAAUAAAAUUGAAUGCACUGAAAUGGAAAUUGAUAACAGCAGGUCUGAGAAUCCCAAAUAACUGUGGGUCUCACAGGGACUUUAAGGUACUUGUACUUCUCAAAUAAAAAUAUUGAAAUAGUGGCAACAAUAAUGUAAAGUACAUUUUUAAAGUGAGGUUUAUUAAGAUCUAACUUACACUCAGUCAAAUUCACUUUUGUGGUAUACAUUCUAUGAAUUUUGAC
rnacentral:lncRNA from 1 species